UAUCUCCAUCAGUUCACAAGUGAAGACGAGCAUCAAAACAUCAGGAAGAGCUGAAAUCUGCAAAGAGUGAUUUUUAUUAAAGAGGACAGAGAGAAGAUGAGAGAUCCAGAACCCUGCAGAAUCAAACACACUGAAGAUACUGAACAACAAACAGAAAUUGAUGUUCAGUGAAACUCCUCCCACAACAAUCACACAUUUAUUUCACCAAUAAAUGCUGGAAUAUUCCCAUCAAUUCACAAGUGAAGACGAGCAGGAAGAGCUGAAAUCUGCAAAGAGUGAGUUUAUUACAGAGGACAGAGAGAAGAGGAGAGAUCCAGAACACUGCAGAAUUAAAUACACUGAAGAACAAACAGAAACACUGAAUGACCAAAAAAGCACCA